UGUGGAAGGUUAAGUUGAUAUAAUAGAAAAACACCAGCUUUGUAGGAGAUAUGAUAUGGCCAAUGAUCAGCCCGUCUGACUAAACGUCUUGUUAGUUGUGACCAGUGACCAACAUUGGCCGAGUAUAUCAAUUAUAUUGAACCGAUUUUAUGCGAACCUGGUUUUCAGUUAUAUAUUUUUAAGGCGGAAAAUGUCCACUGCGGGGAGCAGCCUCUUAAUGUCUGUAUUUUUGCAAUCGCUAAUCACGUAAGAAUAUGAAUAUUGAUACAUCAUCUUCCAUAGAUGAUGUCUUACUCUUCUAAUACGGUCGGGUAUAAUUUACAGUGUUGAAUAAUAAUUAAU